rnacentral:lncRNA from 1 species
UUUCAAUCUUGGAUUGAUUCAGCUGAAAAAGAAAUAGAUAAAGCGUCUGCAGAAAAUAAAGAAAUUAUACUCUUAGGAGAUUUUAAUAUAAACUUUUCACAUAUAAAUCAUACAGUUGUCGGAAACCAAAAAUGGAAGGACUGUAUUAAUUUGUAUGGUUUACAACAAAUUGUAAAUAAACCGACACGAGUAACAGAUAAAUGUGCAACUACCAUAGACCAUAUAUAUACGACCGAUGUAGACCAUAUUAUAGAAGUAAAGGUGCCUAGCUAUGCUGUCAGUGAUCAUUAUCCUGUUUGCGUAACAAGAAAACUUAACCCAAAAAUAUCAAAAAUAGAGCAUUUGUCCAUAGAAUAUAGAUCAUUCAAACAAUUUGAUAAAAAUAAAUUUAUUGAAAAUUUAACAAAUACUCCUUUUUAUCUCAUUGAAUCGAUUGGAGAUGUUGAUGAAGCAGCUAAUUAUUGGUAUAAUUUAUUUCUCAGCACCCUAGACAAACAUGCUCCUAAGAAAAUUAAAAGGGUAAAAAACACCCAACAACCAGAGUGGUGGACUUCUGAUAUAAAUAGCGCUAGACACCAAAGAGAUUAUUUUCAAAGAAUUGGUGAUAUAUAUAAUUAUAAAAUUUGGCGUAAUAAGGUUACAUUUUUAGUAGAACAGGC